rnacentral:tRNA from 1 species
UGGUCUAUAGCCCAACGGCAGAGGCGAUAGUUUUAGAAACUAUGUAGUGUGAGUUCGAAUCUCACUAGACCAA